UGGGGAAUUUUGCUCAAUGGAGGAAACUCUGAAGCAGCGACACCGCGUGUAGGAUGACGGCCCUUUGGGUUGUAAACUACUGUGGAAAAAUACUAAACAAAUGAAGGUUUUUCUAGAAAGAGGUUGCUAACUCUGUGCCAGCAGCAGCGGUGAUACAGAGACCUCGAGCGUUAUCCGGAUUUACUGGGCGUAAAGCGUUCCGAUCGGUUGAUUGGUGUGUUUGUUGUGAAAUGCCGGGGCUUAACCCCGCGCCUGCAGCGAAAACUACCAAUCUAGAAGGUCAAAGGGGUGGCUAGAACUCUGCAAGUACCGGUGAAAUGGGUUGAUAUGCAGGGGAAUACCAAAAGCGAAGGCAGGCCACUGGGUGACUCUUGACACUGCUAGGACGAAAGCGUGGGUA
rnacentral:rRNA from 1 species